CAAUUUGAAUGCUAUUUUUCUUAAAUCUGCAACAGCAUAAUUGAUCAAAUAGAAUAUAUCCAUAAAGUACCACACCUAAACAAUAUAAAUCAAAAGAAAUAUUGAGAAGCCUUUGGACAGAGGCCACGGUGACAGUGAUUCUCUGAAUGAACUUUCUCAAUUUUUCUAUGAAAUUGUGCCAUAGAAUUAUCUCCCUUGAAUGAGCUCUUUAAUAGUAAGUGCACAAAAGAUAGUUACAUGUCAACUUCCAGUAGCAGAAGACACUUGUCAACAAAUCAAUGAUAUGCAGUAUCUUCUUUGAUGUGGCUUUAAUGUUUUCAUGAUGUUAUAGAUGGAGUGUUCUUUUUCCCAGUAUGCAAGGAUUACUUGUAACACUAACUUUAACAUUAAACCAUCAUCUCAGAUAUGUUCAUUC
rnacentral:lncRNA from 1 species